UGAGUAACACGUGGGCAAUCUGCCCUGCACUUCGGGAUAAGCCUGGGAAACUGGGUCUAAUACCGGAUAGGACCUUUAGACGCAUGUCUUUUGGUGGAAAGCUUUUGCGGUGUGGGAUGGGCCCGCGGCCUAUCAGCUUGUUGGUGGGGUGACGGCCUACCAAGGCGACGACGGGUAGCCGGCCUGAGAGGGUGUCCGGCCACACUGGGACUGAGAUACGGCCCAGACUCCUACGGGAGGCAGCAGUGGGGAAUAUUGCACAAUGGGCGCAAGCCUGAUGCAGCGACGCCGCGUGGGGGAUGACGGCCUUCGGGUUGUAAACCUCUUUCACCAUCGACGAAGGUUCGGGUUUUCUCGGAUUGACGGUAGGUGGAGAAGAAGCACCGGCCAACUACGUGCCAGCAGCCGCGGUAAUACGUAGGGUGCGAGCGUUGUCCGGAAUUACUGGGCGUAAAGAGCUCGUAGGUGGUUUGUCGCGUUGUUCGUGAAAUCUCACGGCUUAACUGUGAGCGUGCGGGCGAUACGGGCAGACUAGAGUACUGCAGGGGAGACUGGAAUUCCUGGUGUAGCGGUGGAAUGCGCAGAUAUCAGGAGGAACACCGGUGGCGAAGGCGGGUCUCUGGGCAGUAACUGACGCUGAGGAGCGAAAGCGUGGGGAGCGAACAGGAUUAGAUACCCUGGUAGUCCACGCCGUAAACGGUGGGUACUAGGUGUGGGUUUCCUUCCUUGGGAUCCGUGCCGUAGCUAACGCAUUAAGUACCCCGCCUGGGGAGUACGGCCGCAAGGCUAAAACUCAAAGGAAUUGACGGGGGGCCCGCACAA
rnacentral:rRNA from 1 species